AGAGUUUGAUCAUGGCUCAGAUUGAACGCUGGCGGCAUGCCUAACACAUGCAAGUCGAACGGAAACGAUGCUAGCUUGCUAGCAGGCGUCGAGUGGCGGACGGGUGAGUAAUGCAUAGGAAUCUACCUAAUAGUGGGGGACAACCUGGUGAAAACCAGGCUAAUACCGCAUAAUCCCUACGGGGCAAAGCAGGGGACCUUCGGGCCUUGCGCUAAUAGAUGAGCCUAUGUCGGAUUAGCUAGUUGGUGAGGUAAUGGCUCACCAAGGCGACGAUCCGUAGCUGGUUUGAGAGGAUGAUCAGCCACACUGGGACUGAGACACGGCCCAGACUCCUACGGGAGGCAGCAGUGGGGAAUAUUGCACAAUGGNGCACCGGCUAACUCCGUGCCAGCAGCCGCGGUAAUACGGAGGGUGCAAGCGUUAAUCGGAAUUACUGGGCGUAAAGCGCGCGUAGGCGGUUAAUUAAGUCAGAUGUGAAAGCCCCGGGCUCAACCUGGGAACUGCAUUUGAAACUGGUUAACUAGAGUAUGGUAGAGGAGAGUGGAAUUUCAGGUGUAGCGGUGAAAUGCGUAGAGAUCUGAAGGAACACCAGUGGCGAAGGCGGCUCUCUGGACCAAUACUGACGCUGAGGUGCGAAAGCGUGGGUAGCAAACGGGAUUAGAUACCCCGGUAGUCCACGCCGUAAACGAUGUCAACUAACUGUUGGGCGGGUUACCGCUUAGUGGUGCAGCUAACGCAAUAAGUUGACCGCCUGGGGAGUACGGCCGCAAGGCUAAAACUCAAAUGAAUUGACGGGGGCCCGCACAAGCGGUGGAGCAUGUGGUUUAAUUNNCGUCAAGUCAUCAUGGCCCUUAUGGGUAGGGCUACACACGUGCUACAAUGGCCGGUACAGAGGGCUGCAAACUCGCGAGAGUAAGCGAAUCCCUUAAAGCCGGUCCUAGUCCGGAUUGCAGUCUGCAACUCGACUGCAUGAAGCUGGAAUCGCUAGUAAUCGCGGAUCAGAAUGCCGCGGUGAAUUCGUUCCCGGGCCUUGUACACACCGCCCGUCACACCAUGGGAGUGGGUUGCAAAAGAAGUGGGUAGGCUAACCUUCGGGAGGCCGCUCACCACUUUGUGAUUCAUGACUGGGGUGAAGUCGUAACAAGGUAGCCCUAGGGGAACCUGGGGCUG
rnacentral:rRNA from 1 species